ACCUUUCCUUCUCCAAGGACCAACCACUGAACCCAAACUAAUCAAUACAAGGACUGAGUACUCGAGAAACUCCAAAACAGUCUUCAUAAGAUUUUAUUUUUCCCAUUGAUUUAUAAGAAGAACGAUAGAAAAACAUCAGUACAAGAGCAAAAUAAGGCAAAAGAGGGGUGGGGUUGUCAUUUUACUCUUUUAACUAACCCAAAUUCCUCUGUUUUCCUUUGGAUUUAAACAUCUUUAUUUUUGGUUUUGCAGCAUUAUAAACACAUAUAAACAUCCAUCCAUCCAUCCAUCCAUCCCACUACUACUAUUACUACUACUAAUUCAUUUAUAUAUUUGUCUCUUGCUAUUGAGUCAUCCCCCCCCACCUUCCUACUCCAUCAUCAUUUUGACUGACUCUCCCACUUCACUUCAAAAGAAAAAAGAAAAGAAGCAAAGAAAAACAUGUAAAAAGAGAUGAGAAAUUGCGAAAUAUUAAUGCAGAAGGGAUAAUAAAAAACGAAGAAGAUCCAUUUUUCCUGAUUUCCAUGUAUAUCCAACUUCUUUCUUUCACUCCGGCCGCCGCAUAUAGCUAAGCAA
rnacentral:lncRNA from 1 species